rnacentral:piRNA from 1 species
UAGAAGAUGGUGGUGUCCUGU